AACUUACUCCAUAACUUCUGGGGCAUUAAUUUGUCUGUGACUCACUUUGGGAACUACGUACCGUUACGCAAGCAAAUUCCAUUGACAAAAUAGAGUCUGGUGGUGAAGAAAUCUAUUCCAUUUUGGGUUUCAAAAGUCCAAGGUUUUUUACGCGAUCUCAACUUUCUCACCCGAGUUCAAUUCAAUCCCCUUUAUAUAUAUAUAUAUAUAUUCUAUCCUAAGGCUGAGAGGACCGAAAGUGCCGGAGUUAAUGACGACAGCGCUAUGAUCGGUGUCCCACUCUCGGAGAAUUGAUGGACGUACGUAUAAAAGCGAUUUCAUGGGGGUAAAGUUAAAGCAGGUUCUCAUGUUUCCAUUUGUGAAGUUUAGGAAGAAGAAGAAACAAGCAAAACCCUUAGCAAAGCCGUCUUUGUCUUCGUCAUCUUCUUUUUCUUCGAGUAAAAGGGUGGGUUCCGGUGGUGGUUUUUACGGUGGCUUUUGUUGCACGCGACCUCGUACUUUGGAAUCAGCCGAUAAUUCCAAUUCCAGUGACCCAAAUGAUCCGAACUUCACAUAUGAGAUGCUUAAGACUUUGAUUGAGAAGAAUCAAUUCUACUCCAAAGAAUGCAAUCCCCAUUCGGUUUAGAUUACUAUAUACGUCAUUGAUUUUGGAAAUUCUUUUGCGUGAUGCCGUUGUUAUUCGUUUCACUUGUCGUGUGAUUUUUUAUUAUCGAUAUGAUUUCCGCAAGGGUGAUUAAGUUUUUGAUUAAUUGUAAAUUUUCAUCGAAUUUGGUCCUUAUGUUCUGGAAAUCGCGAAUGUGGUGCUUUGAUUGAUCAUAUUUUACUUUAUGGGAGAUGAUAAAUUUAGCUUCCCUUCUCUUGCUAGUUAUGGCUGAGUACCUAAGUCAACCCAAAUUUUGAGCCGUUGAAUAUGCGACACAAAUUAGACUUGUUCCAUUUUUGUGUCACUUCACUGCUUGUGCCAAUUCAGCAUUGCAAGCAAGUUUCAGGAUAUUUGAAAUGAUUGGUUUAAUACUUUAGGAGGUAUUGUUUUGUUCUAUUAGGGCCAGUUUGGCAUUGCUGUGUUGCUGUUUGAGAAUGUUUUCGAAAAGUUAGGUUUAACAAAAAAGUGCUUUCGAAAACUAUGGUGAAAAAGUUUGGUUCCUUAAUUUCAAGGGUUUGGCAUUGCUGUUAAUAAUUGCGGUGAAAAGUUAAAAUGUCCUUUUUAGACAUGAUAUUGGGUAGAGAAAGGAAUUAAUAAUGGUGUAUUGGUAUUUUCACUCGACAUGCUCAACAAGCUAAAAGCACACUAUACCCGGCUUCUCAGUUUGGGUGAAAAAGCACUUUCACGAAGUGUUUUUGAUUGGAAAAGCACCUUGUUUUUGAAUGCUUCUGCUGUGCAUAAGUGCUUUUAGCACUCCAAACACAAUGCCAAACACAUGCUUAGUUGAGUGAUGAUGAACAGCAUUAGGAAAGGUGUCUGAAUAAUCAAUGAUACAAUAGGGGUCAUGAUUGAUACCUUUAUGUAGAUAGUUUAGACUUCAACAGGGUCUUAGCUAUUUUCUUGUUGAUGCCAGCGAAUUUUACGUGCAUGGCCAAUUUCAUGUUAUAGCUAGCUUGAGCAAAAAUCAACUUGAAGUGUCUGUUCACCUCUGCACAUUUGGAGUUCAGGAUAAGGCACAAAGGUGGCGGGUACCUGAGGAAUUGCUGAACCAAAUGUUUGGAAUUGAUUUAGAUGCAUAUGAGGAGGUAUCGACUUCUUCAUCAUCCGAAAGUUGGUAAAACUCAUGAAAGAAGCUGGCGUGUCAACUUUCGACAUGAUUGUUGCACCUGCUGCAGCAAAUAGGUCUGUUCUUCCAUGGAUUUGAUAGAGGUAUUUCAAUGCCUAAUUAUUGACUUUUGUGUGCCGAACUUUAGCAUUUGUUUUCACUUAUUUAUAGUGAGGGAUUUGAUGUGUACAGUCUGUGAAUCUCAGAUUUCAUAUUGAGAGCAUUGAACUGAAGUUGUACGUGGAAAUUGUAAAAUAUAGUUAUUUCAGUGACAUUUGAUUGUUUGUUAUUCCCUUUUUUAAAGUAAAAUAUUGGAACUAUUGGAGAUGAUGAGCAUGGGGGACUGUUAUUUUUGUUUUGAAUUAUUUGAAAAUAAUUUAUGUUUCUGGUCAGCUUGUUGUUCAACAAGGAAACUAGUUAUGGAUUGAAGAUGUUUUUAAGAUGGAUUUCUUAUUUCUUAAGCUAUUCAUAACAAAAAAUAUAAAUUUGAAAGAAUACAAUCUGUUUUCACUGAAGAGCAAAAGAGUACAAAUGAGGGUAUUUCUGAUAUGUCCGAAGUAGUAUGGUUGACUAUUUGGACAAUGUGCCGUGCCCGUGUGAGGAAAUGCUGAAAGGAAGGAUGGACGGCUUUGAAUCAAAAUGCGGGAACCACAGUGCAAGGAGAAUUUUAAAGUUGUGGAAGAAGGAGUAAGACAUGCAUCGCAAUUUAUUGAGUUUCAUGAUCUCAGUGCUCGAUAAUAUAGGAUUCAAGAGGAAAUAGGAAUGCAGAAGGUAUGUAUAUAAUUAUAGUUAGUCAUAGAAUAUGGUAUAUUUACUUCACAGUGAGUGGAAACUGCUCUAGUUUGUGCAAAAUGGUGAAGCAAAAGAAUGAGGUAAUCCCUGUUUCUGAACCAUCCAAUGAAUUGAUUCUUGAGGUCUGGAAAAUAAAGGCCUUGAUACAAGUUAUUUUGGAACAGGCAUUGAAGAAUCUCAAUCUUAUUCAGGCAUUGAAGAAUCUCAAUCUUAUUGAAUGGAACAAACUUAAAACCAUUAAUAAGAUUAUUACUUCUGCUUGACUAGGCAUAUAGCAGCCGUUGAAGAUGACAUAUUUUAUUGACCUGAACUUAUGGUCCUGACGAGCAAUUUGUUCACAUUAUCCCAAGAAUGAGUCAGUGGAUGAGGAAAUAACAUUAAUGGAGUUUUGCAGAAGGAUCUGAUUCAAGACAGCAAAAUCGAAGCUGACGUGGCUGCAUUUAGUUGAUGGACUUUGACUAUCAAAUAACGAAGAAGGUAUCCAUUUGCUAUUAACUUAGAUCUGGAUUGUUUGUGCCAUUUUGUCCUAAAAAUCAACAAUAGCUAAGUUUUGUAACUUUGUUCUUCAUUUGCUCCUGCAAUUUUAAAACUACGUGUGACUGUUUGGUCUGUAAUCUGUAUAGCAUCCUGUCAGGGUGGUUUCUCUUCCAUAGUUCCAUGUUUACACCAAAAUCAUAUAUGCAUUCAAUUAUACAUGUAACUCUUGUUUUAGAAUGUCACAUAUGUGAGGCACAUGGCUGCGUUUUUGAAUC